GUACACUCCUACGGGAGGCAGCAGUGGGGAAUAUUGGACAAUGGGCGCAAGCCUGAUCCAGCCAUGCCGCGUGAGUGAUGAAGGCCCUAGGGUUGUAAAGCUCUUUCACCGGUGAAGAUAAUGACGGUAACCGGAGAAGAAGCCCCGGCUAACUUCGUGCCAGCAGCCGCGGUAAUACGAAGGGGGCUAGCGUUGUUCGGAUUUACUGGGCGUAAAGCGCACGUAGGCGGACUAUUAAGUCAGGGGUGAAAUCCCGGGGCUCAACCCCGGAACUGCCUUUGAUACUGGUAGUCUUGAGUUCGAGAGAGGUGAGUGGAAUUCCGAGUGUAGAGGUGAAAUUCGUAGAUAUUCGGAGGAACACCAGUGGCGAAGGCGGCUCACUGGCUCGAUACUGACGCUGAGGUGCGAAAGCGUGGGGAGCAAACAGGAUUAGAAACCCUGGUAGUCCCAUG
rnacentral:rRNA from 1 species